CCUACGGGUGACUGCAGUGAGGAAUAUUGGUCAAUGGCCGGAAGGCUGAACCAGCCAUGCCGCGUGAAGGUCAGUGCCCUAUGGGCGUUAAACUUCUUUUGUGCGGGAGCAAUAAUGGUCACGUGUGGCCAGACUAGAGUACCGUACGAAUAAGCAUCGGCUAACUCCGUGCCCGCAGCCGCGGUAAUACGGGGGAUACAAGCGUUAUCCGGAUUUAUUGGGUUUAAAGGGUGCGUAGGCUGUGAGGUAAGUCAGCGGUGAAAUGCCCCCGCUCAACGGGGUGAAGUGCCAUUGAUACUGCCUUGCUGGAAUGCGGAUGCAGUGGGAGGAAUGUGUGGUGUAGCGGUGAAAUGCAUAGAUAUCACACAGAACACCGAUUGCGAAGGCAUCACACGAAUCCGCGAUUGACGCUGAUGCACGAAAGCGUGGGUAUCAAACAGGAUUAGAUACCCCGGUAGUC
rnacentral:rRNA from 1 species